CAGGCAGCAAAGACAAGAAGGACUUGCUAUAGACAAAAGAGAAACUUUCUUGCCAAGCGUCACUGAAAUCACACUUUCAAGAGUCAUGGUUUUCUUUUUAUGUUUUGUGGUGGCCUUUUAUUUCAUUUUAAAGAAGAUUGCAAAAACAAAGCAGAAGAGGAAAGCCCAAAGACAGAAGAAAAAUAUUUAAACAACGGAGGAAAAAUACUGGAAUCCCUGGAGCUCAUCCCUUCAAAGUGUCUUUCCAAAAGUCCUGCAUCUCCACCACAACAGCUCUCUGGACGAAUUACGACAUUAUGA
rnacentral:lncRNA from 1 species